rnacentral:rRNA from 1 species
UAGCGUAGGGGGCAAGCGUUGUCCGGAUUCAUUGGGCGUAAAGAGCGUGUAGGCGGCCAGGUAGGUCGGUUGUGAAAAACUGGAGGCUCAACCUUCAGAGGUCGACCGAAACCAUCUGGCUAGAGUCCGGGAGAGGAGAGUGGAAUUCCUGGUGUAGCGGUGGAAUGCGCAGAUAUCAGGAAGAACACCCGUGGCGAAGGCGGCUCUCUGGGACGGUACUGACGCUGAGACGCGAAAAGCGUGGGGGAGCGAACAGG